rnacentral:rRNA from 1 species
AUUGAACGCUGGCGGCAGGCUUAACACAUGCAAGUCGAGCGGGGUGAUGGUGCUUGCACUAUCACUUAGCGGCGGACGGGUGAGUAAUGCUUAGGAAUCUGCCUAUUAGUGGGGGACGACAUCUCGAAAGGGAUGCUAAUACCGCAUACGUCCUACGGGAGAAAGCAGGGGAUCACUUGUGCCCUUGCGCUAAUAGAUGGGCCUAAGUCGGAUUAGCUAGUUGGUGGGGUAAAGGCCUACCAAGGCGACGAUCUGUAGCGGGUCUGAGAGGAUGAUCCGCCACACUGGGACUGAGACACGGCCCAGACUCCUACGGGAGGCAGCAGUGGGGAAUAUUGGACAAUGGGGGGAACCCUGAUCCAGCCAUGCCGCGUGUGUGAAGAAGGCCUUAUGGUUGUAAAGCACUUUAAGCGAGGAGGAGGCUCUUUUGGUUAAUACCCAAGAUGAGUGGACGUUACUCGCAGAAUAAGCACCGGCUAACUCUGUGCCAGCAGCCGCGGUAA